GCAGUCGAGCGGACCGAAGGGAGCUUGCUCCUUUAGGUUAGCGGCGGACGGGUGAGUAACACGUGGGCAACCUGCCCUGCAGACUGGGAUAACUUCGGGAAACCGGAGCUAAUACCGGAUAACACCGAAAACCGCAUGGUUUUCGGUUGAAAGGCGGCUUUUAGCUGUCACUGCAGGAUGGGCCCGCGGCGCAUUAGCUAGUUGGUGAGGUAACGGCUCACCAAGGCGACGAUGCGUAGCCGACCUGAGAGGGUGACCGGCCACACUGGGACUGAGACACGGCCCAGACUCCUACGGGAGGCAGCAGUAGGGAAUCUUCCGCAAUGGACGAAAGUCUGACGGAGCAACGCCGCGUGAGCGAAGAAGGUCUUCGGAUCGUAAAGCUCUGUUGUCAGGGAAGAACAAGUACCGUUCGAACAGGGCGGUACCUUGACGGUACCUGACGAGGAAGCCACGGCUAACUACGUGCCAGCAGCCGCGGUAAU
rnacentral:rRNA from 1 species